AUGAAAAGUUGCUGCUGCUGCUGUUGUCAAACUAUUGCUGCUGCUGCUGCUGCUGCUCUGAAACUACUGCUGCUGCUGCUGCCAUACUCCACCUGCAGAAGAACCCAGCAGCUGUUGUUGCUGCUGCUGAUCAGUAUGACUCUAAACUCUGUUGUUGCUGCUGUUGCAGGAGAAGGAGCACGCCCAGGAGAAGAAGGAUCGGGAGAAGGCCCUGAGGACCUGGGAUCGCUGCUGCUAGAUCUGGAUCUGGGACCUGGGACUGCUGCUGCCGCGUGCUCCUUCUGGGAGACGAGGACCCUCCUUGGCGCCCCUGGAUCGCUGCUGCUGGACGCCCCUGGAUCGCUGCUGCUGGAGAUGAGGACCUGGGCCUGGGAGCGCUGA
rnacentral:rRNA from 1 species